UGAGGAAUAUUGGUCAAUGGGCGAGAGCCUGAACCAGCCACGUCGCGUGAAGGAAGACUGACCUUACGGUUUGUAAACUUCUUUUGUAGAGGGGUAAUGGCAGAUACGUGUAUUUGCGUGAAAGUACUCUACGAAUAAGCAUCGGCUAACUCCGUGCCAGCAGCCGCGGUAAUACGGGGGAUGCGAGCGUUAUCCGGAAUUAUUGGGUUUAAAGGGUGCGCAGGUGGCUAAUCAGGUCAGUGGUGAAAAGCUAUGGCUCAACCAUGGUCUUGCCAUUGAAACCGUAUAGCUAGAGAGGAGACGAGGUAGGCGGAAUGUGUGGUGUAGCGGUGAAAUGCAUAGGUAUCACACAGAAAUCCGAUUGCGAAGGCAGCUUACCAGGCUUUAUCUGACACUUGGGCACGACAGCGUGGGGAUCAAACAGG
rnacentral:rRNA from 1 species